rnacentral:rRNA from 1 species
ACAAGGAAACCUUUUGCAUAUCAAUAAGCNGAGGAAAAGAAACCAACAGGGAUUGCCUCAGUAACGGCGAGUGAAGCGGCAAAAGCUCAAAUUUGAAAUCCCCCCGGGGAGUUGUAAUUUGAAGAUUGCGUCUUGGAGGCGACCGUGUCUAUGUUCCUUGGAACAGGACGUCACAGAGGGUGAGAAUCCCGUGCGGCACGGCCCCCGGCUCCUUAUAAGGCGCUCUCGACGAGUCGAGUUGUUUGGGAAUGCAGCUCAAAGUGGGUGGUAAAUUCCAUCUAAAGCUAAAUACAGGCGAGAGACCGAUAGCGAACAAGUACAGUGAUGGAAAGAUGAAAAGCACUUUGAAAAGAGAGUGAAACAGCACGUGAAAUUGUUGAAAGGGAAGGGCAUGCCGUCAGAUUGUCAGUGUGGGUAAGAAGCGGGGUACAAAGACUGUGGAACGUGGCCCUCGGGUGUUAUAGCCGCAGUUCAUGCCCCGUCUCUUUCCGAGGCCUGCUUUGAGGACACCGACGUAAUGACGGUACGCCGCCCGUCUUGAACCACGGACCAAAAGAGGUUUUGG